GAUGCUUGAGACUCACUGUUAGCUGGACAUGCCUUUUGAUCUGUCUUUCAAGCAAUGGGAUAGGUUGACCACAGCCAUCUCAGAACAAAGAUGGUGCUUAUCUGUCAACAAACUACUUAAGACAGUGGAAGACAUGCAGUGUUGACUCGGAAGGAGAGGUUCAAGGCUUGUGGCUCCCUGACAUUGGGGAGACUAUUAGCUCUUGUCCCUUGUGAAUCCUGGUAUCCAGAAGACCCACCUCUGAUCCAGACUGAGGUCAGAGUCCACCAAAUCAGAAAGACUCAGCAAAGUGAUAUCUUAAGUAGCACAAAUGGGACUAAGGAAAGGAAGAAGUUCUCUUUUGCCUCAGAACCACUGAAAGAGGAGUUAUCAAAGUUGUAGUGGCUGCUCACUGACCCACUGAGAUAAAAAUGGAUCAAGUCACCUGAUAGGAAGAUGUAUGCUCACCAAAUCCAAGUUAAAAAGAAGUCAUCACCAAUGAAGAUAUGCAGAAGAUCUUGUUUAUAGAAGAUACUAUGUUGAUUGCAUUGAGCCCCAGAACACUGCCUUCUUAAUUAAAUUUACCAUUACUCAAAA